rnacentral:tRNA from 1 species
GGGCCUGUGGUCUAGCCUGGAAUAUGACGAUGGACUUCGGAUCCAUAGGGCAGGGGUUCAAAUCCCCUCAGGUCCGC